UACGUAGGGUGCAAGCGUUAAUCGGAAUUACUGGGCGUAAAGCGUGCGCAGGUGGUGAUGUAAGACAGGUGUGAAAUCCCCGGGCUUAACCUGGGAACUGCAUUUGUGACUGCAUUGCUGGAGUGCGGCAGAGGGGGAUGGAAUUCCGCGUGUAGCAGUGAAAUGCGUAGAUAUGCGGAGGAACACCGAUGGCGAAGGCAAUCCCCUGGGCCUGCACUGACGCUCAUGCACGAAAGCGUGGGGAGCAAACAGG
rnacentral:rRNA from 1 species